rnacentral:rRNA from 1 species
CAGUCGCCGCGGGAAUACAGAGGGUGCGAGCGUUAAUCGGAUUUACUGGGCGUAAAGCGUGCGUAGGCGGCUAAUUGAGUCGGAUGUGAAAUCCCCGAGCUUAACUUGGGAAUUGCAUUCGAUACUGGUUAGCUAGAGUGUGGGAGAGGAUGGUAGAAUUCCAGGUGUAGCGGUGAAAUGCGUAGAGAUCUGGAGGAAUUCCGAUGGCGAAGGCAGCCAUCUGGCCUAAUACUGACGCUGAGGUACGAAAGCAUGGGGAGCAAACAGGAUUAGAUACCCCCGUAGUCCCUGUCUCUUAUAA